UGAGGAAUAUUGGACAAUGGGCGCAAGCCUGAUCCAGCCAUGCCGCGUGCAGGAUGACGGUCCUAUGGAUUGUAAACUGCUUUUUGUACAGGAAGAAACAGUUCUACGUGUAGAACCUUGACGGUACUGUAAGAAUAAGGAUCGGCUAACUCCGUGCCAGCAGCCGCGGUAAUACGGAGGAUCCAAGCGUUAUCCGGAAUCAUUGGGUUUAAAGGGUCCGUAGGCGGUUAGAUAAGUCAGUGGUAAAAGCCCAUCGCUCAACGGUGGAACGGCCAUUGAUACUGUCUGACUUGAAUUAUUAGGAAGUAACUAGAAUAUGUAGUGUAGCGGUGAAAUGCUUAGAGAUUACAUGGAAUACCAAUUGCGAAGGCAGGUUACUACUAAUGGAUUGACGCUGAUGGACGAAAGCGUGGGUAGCGAACAGGAUUAGAUACCCUUGUAGUCCCUGAGCGGGCUGGCAAGGC
rnacentral:rRNA from 1 species